GACGGAGGAUGCAAGUGUUAUCCGGAAUCACUGGGCGUAAAGCGUCUGUAGGUGGUCAAAUAAGUCAACUGUUAAACCUUGAGGCUCAACCUCAAAAUCGCAGUCGAAACUAUUCGACUAGAGUAUAGUAGGGGUAAAGGGAAUUUCCAGUGGAGCGGUGAAAUGCGUAGAGAUUGGAAAGAACACCGAUGGCGAAGGCACUUUACUGGGCUAUUACUAACACUGAGAGACGAAAGCUAGGGUAGCAAAUGGG
rnacentral:rRNA from 1 species